rnacentral:lncRNA from 1 species
GACUCAUAUGUGGCUGUUACAAGACGGCAGCGUGGCUUGUCACGUCCUUUACCCCAAUUUUCGCAGAGAUGUCAUACCCGACAGAUCGCGAAAUUUGCGAUAAUUCUUAUAAACUCAAAGAAUUCCAAUUAGUGCAAAGAAAUGGAACGUGGAACAGAGAAAGUGCAGGCUUUUGCCACAGCGGACGUCUGUCGUCUGCUAAAAUCUAUGAGAGUUCCACAGCAAAUGGUCGCUGUUGGACUGUGUUGAGCCCCAUUGUCUUCACCUAUAAAAUAAUCCAGUGUGAAAACCUGCUGGAUGCAGACAAUGACACCCUGCUGUUUGGCCACAUUGACAACUGUGAAGAGCUGAAGAGCAGUGGCAAUCCCAUUAAACGCUUUAUCGUCAUUGAUGAGGCAGUCCAUAAGCUCUACGGGGAUAAGAUCACGGAGUACCUGAAGGCCAGAAAUGUCAUCUACAAGAUGCUCCCCUUGCCCACAACAGAGGAAAACAAAUCCAUGGAGCUUGUGACGAAAAUCCUUGAGGAGGUUCACAAGUUUGGCAUUGACAGGAGGUCUGAGCCAAUUCUAGCCAUUGGUGGGGGAGUGUGUCUAGAUAUUGUAGGAUUGGCUGCGUCUCUCUAUCGUAGAAGGACUCCCUAUAUCCGCGUCCCAACCACUUUGCUGGCCUAUGUUGAUGCCAGUGUCGGGGCAAAGAAUGGAGUCAACUUUGCCAACUGUAAAAACAAGAUAGGAGGUUAUAUCCCCCCAGUUGCAGCUUUUCUGGACAGGUCUUUCCUGGAAACAGUUCCUCGCCGCCACAUCUCCAAUGGACUGGCUGAGAUGUUGAAGAUGGCUAUGAUGAAACACAAAGGCCUGUUUGAACUUUUGGAGAGGGAGGGACGGAAUCUUCUGGAUUCCAAGUUCCAGACCCGAGGUGAGACAGACAGGGCAGACCAGGCACAUGCUGCCUCAGCAUCCACCAGAAUCGCCAUAGAGACCAUGCUGGAGGAGUUGGCUCCAAACCUGUGGGAGGAUGACUUGGAUCGGCUGGUGGACUUUGGACACCUCAUCAGUCCAGAACUUGAGAUGAAGGUAUUGCCUGCGCUGCUGCAUGGGGAGGCAGUGAACAUUGACAUGUCCCUCAUGGUGUACUUGGCCUGUGAGCGGGGCCUCCUCGCCCCGGAGGAGAGGUCCAGAGUUAUCCGUUGCAUGCAGAGCCUGGAGCUGCCCGUGUGGCAUCAGGACUGCAGCUUGGAGCUGGUGAAGAAAGCCCUGAGCGAACGUCUCAAGCACUCUGGAGGGCUGGUUAGGAUGCCACUGCCCACUGCACUGGGACAAGCAGAAAUCUUUAAUGACACCGAUGACGACACACUGUGUCUGGCAUUCCAGAAGUGGUGCACGGAGCUGGGAGCAGGACACCUUCCCAAGUGAAAAGGGAGCUGUGUUGCUAACAAACUUGAAAAUACAUCGCUUAAGUGAUUGAGUGUUUUGGCAUUCCUGAAAAUAAACAUGGAAAUGAUGAAUGUGCUGACA